AAAGUGAGGAUAAACAUGUAGAAAGCAGAUUAGUUCCAUGUUUGGACCGGGGUUCGAACCCCCGCAUCUCCACUC
rnacentral:tmRNA from 1 species